rnacentral:rRNA from 1 species
CAGUAGCCGCGGUAAUACGUAGGGUGCGAGCGUUAAUCGGGAUUACUGGGCGUAAAGCGUGCGCAGGCGGUUGUGUAAGACAGGUGUGAAAUCCCCGGGCUUAGCCUGGGAACUGCGCUUGUGACUGCACAGCUAGAGUAUGGCAGAGGGGGGUGGAAUUCCACGUGUAGCAGUGAAAUGCGUAGAGAUGUGGAGGAACACCGAUGGCGAGGGCAGCCCCCUGGGCCAAUACUGACGCUCAUGCACGAAAGCGUAGGGAGCAAUCAGGAUUAGAUACCCCCGUAGUCCAUGUCUCUUAUAC